rnacentral:rRNA from 1 species
AUCUGCGAUAAGCGCCGGUAAGGUGAUAUGAACCGUUAUAACCGGCGAUACCCGAAUGGGGAAACCCAGUGUGAUUCGUCACACUAUCAUUAACUGAAUCCAUAGGUUAAUGAGGCGAACCGGGGGAACUGAAACAUCUAAGUACCCCGAGGAAAAGAAAUCAACCGAGAUUCCCCCAGUAGCGGCGAGCGAACGGGGAGGAGCCCAGAGCCUGAAUCAGCAUGUGUGUUAGUGGAAGCGUCUGGAAAGGCGCGCGAUACAGGGUGACAGCCCCGUACACAAAAGCGCAUGUGCUGUGAGCUCGAUGAGUAGGGCGGGACACGUGGUAUCCUGUCUGAAUAUGGGGGGACCAUCCUCCAAGGCUAAAUACUCCUGACUGACCGAUAGUGAACCAGUACCGUGAGGGAAAGGCGAAAAGAACCCCGGCGAGGGGAGUGAAAAAGAACCUGAAACCGUGUACGUACAAGCAGUGGGAGCACCCUUUGGGUGUGACUGCGUACCUUUUGUAUAAUGGGUCAGCGACUUAUAUUCUGUAGCAAGGUUAACCGAAUAGGGGAGCCGGAGGGAAACCGAGUCUUAACCGGGCGUUAAGUUGCAGGGUAUAGACCCGAAACCCGGUGAUCUAGCCAUGGGCAGGUUGAAGGUUGGGUAACACUAACUGGAGGACCGAACCGACUAAUGUUGAAAAAUUAGCGGAUGACCUGUGGCUGGGGGUGAAAGGCCAAUCAAACCGGGAGAUAGCUGGUUCUCCCCGAAAGCUAUUUAGGUAGCGCCUCGUGAAUUCAUCUCCGGGGGUAGAGCACUGUUUCGGCUAGGGGGCCAUCCCGGCUUACCAACCCGAUGCAAACUGCGAAUACCGGAGAAUGUUAUCACGGGAGACACACGGCGGGUGCUAACGUCCGUCGUGAAGAGGGAAACAACCCAGACCGCCAGCUAAGGUCCCAAAGUCAUGGUUAAGUGGGAAACGAUGUGGGAAGGCCCAGACAGCCAGGAUGUUGGCUUAGAAGCAGCCAUCAUUUAAAGAAAGCGUAAUAGCUCACUGGUCGAGUCGGCCUGCGCGGAAGAUGUAACGGGGCUAAACCAUGCACCGAAGCUGCGGCAGCGACACUGUGUGUUGUUGGGUAGGGGAGCGUUCUGUAAGCCUGUGAAGGUGUGUCGUGAGGCAUGCUGGAGGUAUCAGAAGUGCGAAUGCUGACAUAAGUAACGAUAAAGCGGGUGAAAAGCCCGCUCGCCGGAAGACCAAGGGUUCCUGUCCAACGUUAAUCGGGGCAGGGUGAGUCGACCCCUAAGGCGAGGCCGAAAGGCGUAGUCGAUGGGAAACGGGUUAAUAUUCCCGUACUUGGUGUUACUGCGAAGGGGGGACGGAGAAGGCUAUGUUGGCCGGGCGACGGUUGUCCCGGUUUAAGCGUGUAGGUGUGUGUUCCAGGUAAAUCCGGUUCACUUUAACACUGAGGCGUGACGACGAGGCACUACGGUGCUGAAGCAACAAAUGCCCUGCUUCCAGGAAAAGCCUCUAAGCAUCAGGUAACAUCAAAUCGUACCCCAAACCGACACAGGUGGUCAGGUAGAGAAUACCAAGGCGCUUGAGAGAACUCGGGUGAAGGAACUAGGCAAAAUGGUGCCGUAACUUCGGGAGAAGGCACGCUGACACGUAGGUGAAGUGAUUUACUCAUGGAGCUGAAGUCAGUCGAAGAUACCAGCUGGCUGCAACUGUUUAUUAAAAACACAGCACUGUGCAAACACGAAAGUGGACGUAUACGGUGUGACGCCUGCCCGGUGCCGGAAGGUUAAUUGAUGGGGUCAGCGCAAGCGAAGCUCCUGAUCGAAGCCCCGGUAAACGGCGGCCGUAACUAUAACGGUCCUAAGGUAGCGAAAUUCCUUGUCGGGUAAGUUCCGACCUGCACGAAUGGCGUAAUGAUGGCCAGGCUGUCUCCACCCGAGACUCAGUGAAAUUGAACUCGCUGUGAAGAUGCAGUGUACCCGCGGCAAGACGGAAAGACCCCGUGAACCUUUACUAUAGCUUGACACUGAACAUUGAGCCUUGAUGUGUAGGAUAGGUGGGAGGCUUUGAAGUGUGGACGCCAGUCUGCAUGGAGCCGACCUUGAAAUACCACCCUUUAAUGUUUGAUGUUCUAACGUGGACCCGUUACCCGGGUUGCGGACAGUGUCUGGUGGGUAGUUUGACUGGGGCGGUCUCCUCCUAAAGAGUAACGGAGGAGCACGAAGGUUGGCUAAUCCUGGUCGGACAUCAGGAGGUUAGUGCAAUGGCAUAAGCCAGCUUGACUGCGAGCGUGACGGCGCGAGCAGGUGCGAAAGCAGGUCAUAGUGAUCCGGUGGUUCUGAAUGGAAGGGCCAUCGCUCAACGGAUAAAAGGUACUCCGGGGAUAACAGGCUGAUACCGCCCAAGAGUUCAUAUCGACGGCGGUGUUUGGCACCUCGAUGUCGGCUCAUCACAUCCUGGGGCUGAAGUAGGUCCCAAGGGUAUGGCUGUUCGCCAUUUAAAGUGGUACGCGAGCUGGGUUUAGAACGUCGUGAGACAGUUCGGUCCCUAUCUGCCGUGGGCGCUGGAGAACUGAGGGGGGCUGCUCCUAGUACGAGAGGACCGGAGUGGACGCAUCACUGGUGUUCGGGUUGUCAUGCCAAUGGCACUGCCCGGUAGCUAAAUGCGGAAGAGAUAAGUGCUGAAAGCAUCUAAGCACGAAACUUGCCCCGAGAUGAGUUCUCCCUGAGACUUAAAGUCUCCUGAAGGAACGUUGAAGACGACGACGUUGAUAGGCCGGGUGUGUAAGCGCAGCGAUGCGUUGAGCUAACCGGUACUAAUGAACCGUGAGGCUUAACCUUACAACGCCGAAG